UUUGUUUUCUCUUCUUGGGGGUCCGAGUGUCUCCUUCUUUUCCUUUCUUACUCCUAGGCUUGUGUGUCUGUGUCCGUGUCUGCUUUCGAAAGUCCUGCUUUGUUCUCCCAGCAGCGCUUGCCUGGUUUCGCUUUGCCGGUCCCUCCCUCCCUCCCUCCCUCCCUCCUUUUCUCCCUCCCUCCCUCCCGCCCCCCUCUUUCGGGGGGCCGGGGCGUGCGUGCGCCGCGUGUGCGCGCGGUCGGCCCCCGCGGUGUGGUGAGCCUUGGGGCAAAGGGGGGGAAGGUGUUGGGGGCGCGACGUCCGGUCGGCCCCGGCUUCCCCAGCCCCGCAGCCGUGGUGCGGGAGAGCCUAUCGCGCCCGCCCUCUCCCCACGAGCCGCAGCCGGUGGCGGCGUGCGGUCACGGUCGGGGCCGCCUCGCUCGAGAGCGUGAUCCCCAGGAUGUCGAGCCUCGGGGUGGCAGACUUGGAUCGGAAGACGGAUCUGUCGAGGACGGGUGGCGGAAGAUGGGUUUGGGCGGCUCGCCGGCCCUGGCGGCGGGGCCGGGUCGUGGGGGCCCGCUCUGGGGCUGGCCGGGACCGGUCGGCGUCCCAGGCGUGUCGCGGGACCGCCCUCGUGUGUGGGUGGCGGUGGGACCCCGCGCUGGUUUUCCUGGUGGCCCGGCCGUGUUCCCGGUGUCUUUGUGGUCCCCGGAUGGCGCCCGCGGCCCUGUCCCGCGGCCCCCGCCGUGCGUGCUUGCCGGCCCCUCCCCGCCGCUGCCGGCCUCUCCUCCUCGUCCCGCGCGUGCGACCGCCCCGCGCUCCCUUCCCCUGUCUGGGGCCGAGCCGGCCUCGCCUCAUGUGGGUGUCGUUCCCCCGGCCUCCGUCGGCCGGUGGCGUCCCCGAGGCGGGGCGGCGCGCGGGGAGCCUUGCGCGUGUGGGGGACGUGGGGGCCGCCGGUGCGCGGCGGGAGAGCGUUCUCCCUGGCCGGCUUGCGGCUCUCGGGUGUGUGUCGGUGGCGGUGGGCGUGAGCCCCCGUGAGGGUGCCGGGGGGGGAGGGCGCCAGUCCGUCGUCCCGGGCGUGCGGUGGGACCGUCCCUGUGCUGGGAGGCCUCCGGCGGUGAGAUCCCGCGGUGGGCCCUGGCGGCCGACUCGCGCUUCCCCCUGCCCCAGCACGGGUCGCUUUGAGCCAUGCCCCUCGCGGUGGCGCGCGGCCGCCCCACCAACACCGCCCCUGUUCCGUGGCGUUGGCCUCGCGUGGCCGCACCCCGUCGGUGCUCCUCUCCGUCUGUCCGUCCGCCUCAGUCCGCUCGCCGUCUGCUGCCUCCCGGGGCCGCGCCCUGGUGUGUCUCGCUUCCGGGCCCGCCGCGGUCCCGAUCCGUUGCCCGUUUCGCCGCCGCCUGUCCGUCGCCGCCGUCGCGUGCUGGACGAGGGGGAGCUCCCGUGAUCUCCCCCCUCCCCCGCCCCGCCGCGGCCCCCCGCUCCGGUGCGCUCGCCCGAGCGCGGGUCGGGUCCCCGGUCUUGCCCACCGCGGGCCGGUCGCCGUGUCCUCGCCGGCCGGCGUCCCCCGCCCCUCUGGGGCGGGUGUGACGGCCGGACGCCGAGGGCGCGCGUCGGCCGUCCGCGGUGUGGCCUUGGCCGUGGUGGAGUCCCCCCCGGGGCGGGCGGGCUCGCGGUGGGGGGGGGCGGGUGCGGGGGUGGAGGGAGAGGGGGCUCCGCCGCCCUCUCCCUCCCCCUCCUCGGCCCUCCGCGCGGUGGCGGCGGUGCGCUGCGACCCUCGUGGACCGAGAGCGUGCGCGCGAUCGGGCGUCCCCGCCGCGGCGCGGGACGGGGGGCGCGGCCGGGCCUCCCGGCCGGGCGAGCGCCCUCCCGCCACCCCCCCCUCCCCCCUGGCUCCCUCGCCUCGCGGGUCUUCCGGCGCGCGUGCCGCGUCCGUGGCCUCUCCGCCCCGCCCCGCUUUCCCGGCACGCCCGGCUCCUCGUGCUCGCGCCCCUACCUGGUUGAUCCUGCCAGUAGCAUAUGCUUGUCUCAAAGAUUAAGCCAUGCAUGUCUAUGGAGCGAGCGACCAAAGGAACCAUAACUGAUUUAAUGAGCCAUUCGCAGUUUCACUGUACCGGCCGUGCGUACUUAGACAUGCAUGGCUUAAUCUUUGAGACAAGCAUAUGCUACUGGCAGGAUCAACCAGGUAGGGGCGCGAGCACGAGGAGCCGGGCGUGCCGGGAAAGCGGGGCGGGGCGGAGAGGCCACGGACGCGGCACGCGCGCCGGAAGACCCGCGAGGCGAGGGAGCCAGGGGGGAGGGGGGGUGGCGGGAGGGCGCUCGCCCGGCCGGGAGGCCCGGCCGCGCCCCCCGUCCCGCGCCGCGGCGGGGACGCCCGAUCGCGCGCACGCUCUCGGUCCACGAGGGUCGCAGCGCACCGCCGCCACCGCGCGGAGGGCCGAGGAGGGGGAGGGAGAGGGCGGCGGAGCCCCCUCUCCCUCCACCCCCGCACCCGCCCCCCCCCACCGCGAGCCCGCCCGCCCCGGGGGGGACUCCACCACGGCCAAGGCCACACCGCGGACGGCCGACGCGCGCCCUCGGCGUCCGGCCGUCACACCCGCCCCAGAGGGGCGGGGGACGCCGGCCGGCGAGGACACGGCGACCGGCCCGCGGUGGGCAAGACCGGGGACCCGACCCGCGCUCGGGCGAGCGCACCGGAGCGGGGGGCCGCGGCGGGGCGGGGGAGGGGGGAGAUCACGGGAGCUCCCCCUCGUCCAGCACGCGACGGCGGCGACGGACAGGCGGCGGCGAAACGGGCAACGGAUCGGGACCGCGGCGGGCCCGGAAGCGAGACACACCAGGGCGCGGCCCCGGGAGGCAGCAGACGGCGAGCGGACUGAGGCGGACGGACAGACGGAGAGGAGCACCGACGGGGUGCGGCCACGCGAGGCCAACGCCACGGAACAGGGGCGGUGUUGGUGGGGCGGCCGCGCGCCACCGCGAGGGGCAUGGCUCAAAGCGACCCGUGCUGGGGCAGGGGGAAGCGCGAGUCGGCCGCCAGGGCCCACCGCGGGAUCUCACCGCCGGAGGCCUCCCAGCACAGGGACGGUCCCACCGCACGCCCGGGACGACGGACUGGCGCCCCCCCGGCACCCUCACGGGGGCUCACGCCCACCGCCACCAACACACACCCGAGAGCCGCAAGCCGGCCAGGGAGAACGCUCUCCCGCCGCGCACCGGCGGCCCCCACGUCCCCCACACGCGCAAAGCUCCCCGCGCGCCGCCCCGCCUCGGGGACGCCACCGGCCGACGGAGGCCGGGGGACGACACCCACAUGAGGCGAGGCCGGCUCGGCCCCAGACAGGGGAAGGGAGCGCGGGGCGGUCGCACGCGCGGGACGAGGAGGAGAGGCCGGCAGCGGCGGGGAGGGGCCGGCAAGCACGCACGGCGGGGGCCGCGGGACAGGGCCGCGGGCGCCAUCCGGGGACCACAAAGACACCGGGAACACGGCCGGGCCACCAGGAAAACCAGCGCGGGGUCCCACCGCCACCCACACACGAGGGCGGUCCCGCGACACGCCUGGGACGCCGACCGGUCCCGGCCAGCCCCAGAGCGGGCCCCCACGACCCGGCCCCGCCGCCAGGGCCGGCGAGCCGCCCAAACCCAUCUUCCGCCAUCCGUCCUCGACAGAUCCGUCUUCCGAUCUAAGUCUGCCACCCCGAGGCUCGACAUCCUGGGGAUCACGCUCUCGAGCGAGGCGGCCCCGACCGCGACCGCACGCCGCCACCGGCUGCGGCUCGUGGGGAGAGGGCGGGCGCGAUAGGCUCUCCCGCACCACGGCUGCGGGGCUGGGGAAGCCGGGGCCGACCGGACGUCGCGCCCCCAACACCUUCCCCCCUUUGCCCCAAGGCUCACCACACCGCGGGGGCCGACCGCGCGCACACGCGGCGCACGCACGCUCCGGUCCCCCCCACCUGCCGGACGCCCGGCGGGGCCCAGCGGGACCCUCCCCCAACUCGAAGCGGGGAGGCGCGGGCCGCGGUAGGCAACGAGCGGCACACGGCCCCACCGCGGGGCCGGCGCACCCGCCCCCCACCGCCCCCAGAGGGGAGGUGGGGGGCGGGGUGUUCUGCCCACGCGCUCUUGGCAGCCGCCACGGCGGCCACUGCGCACGCAGGAGGGGCAGCAGCUGGGGGGUCCGAUACCCCAAGGCUCCCUCUCGGAUCGCUAGAGAAGGCUUUCUCACCGAGGGCUCGCCGCCCCUCACCCGGAUCGUCUCUCUCCUUCGGGCCCACGGAGGCGCUCCACGAGCCACCAGUCCUCAGCUGGGGUGGGAGGGGUCUGCGGUACAGGUAGGCGGAGCACCAACACAGGAGCGUCUGCGUGGCCGGGGCCAGCGCAGAGCCCGCGUCCCGUCCCCUGCAAGGCCUCACCCGUCAGCCUCGACGACGAGGGGAACAGGCACGCCUCUCCUACCGCCUCGACCCCCCCCAAAAGAGAGCCCACUCACGGGACACACACACACCACCGCGGUGGGGACCCGAGGAGGACACCGGGGUUAAGGGAAACGACACCACCGCUCGGCCUCAGGCACCUGAGCGACGACCUGGAGCGCUCCAGGGGCACCACCGAGGGUCCAACGAGGCACGCUCGCGCACCCGCGCGGGGGGGGGCGCAGCGCAGCAGCGGUACAGCCCUCCCCACCGCGGGGAGGGCCGCUCGCGGAGCACACGCCGGGAAGGCGAAGCGAGAGCAUCUGCUGUGUCAGAAGACCCACGGCCCCCACCGACGCCCCCCGAGGCGGGGGACAGGAGACCGAAGGUCAGGGCCAGAGGCCGCAACCCAGCCCCCGCCUUCCUCCCCCUCCCCGACGGCCAGGGGGGAAAAGUCAGGCGAGGGGCCCCGCGGACAGACCGAGAAGAGCAGACACGUUCACCGGGAACACCUGUCCCUCGUCUGGCACGGCUUAGGCCCGGCCCGGGAGAGCACGACCACACCACAUCGAUCGGAUGAGCCAAGGUGGAGCGGGGGGAAGGCACGGCGAGGACAGUCACCAGAGGGGCCCGCUUUAAGCCUCACCGGCAACCUCCGCCCCCCACCUCGCCUCAGGCGAGAGCGGCCCACGACCCCAGGAGGUUCGAGAACGCCUGACACGUGGCACGGAGCCCACAGGGCGGGGGUCGCAUCUCAGCCUUCACCGGGUGCCCGCAGCGGGGAGCGCACAGGGUAGAAGACCCACGGCGCCUCGCCCCGCCGCCCUCGGGUCGCCCAGAGACCGGAGGUGGCACCACGAGUCGGGUCAGCCAGACAACGCCACACAGGAGCCGGCGCACAGGCCCAGGCGGGCGGCUCCAGCGGCAAGGGCCGAACCGGCGACCAGAGCUGGCGGCCCGAAGGCCCAGAGCCCCGCGUACAUCCAGAGACCCAAAGUUUCCUCGGCGGCAGACACCGAAGCAGACCGUGUCAGC
ensembl:lncRNA